rnacentral:piRNA from 1 species
UAAAUUGAAGCCAAGUCUUCGCCAAAUAAU